UGCUACAUCUUAGGAGCUUAAACACACCACAGCUGGCCACACAUACCCCACAGCAAGGCCCCACAGCACACACUGGCCCUUCACCCCUGCCCCUUCACAAUGAGACUGUUCCCUACCCUACACUUCCACAGCAAGGCCCCACAGCACACACUGCCCCACCACAAUGAGACUGUUCCCUUCCCUGCACCUCCAACCCUGACACCACAGCAAGGCCCCACAGCACACACUGCCCCACCACAAUGAGACUGUUCCCUUCCCUGCACCUCCAACCCUGACACCACCUAACAAUUUACCUACAAGUCUAAUCAAGCUAAUCCAAACACAGUUAUAGUGAAGAUUGCAGUUUUUCUUUUUCUUUAAGUGUAAUUGAUGGUCUAGCAAGCUGUACUGUACCUAUGAAUGCUGUGAUGCAAUGAAUAUUCAAGAUUAUACAAUGAUUACCGCUAUUUGAUGCACCGUAUACAAAAAAAGUAAUUUUGUUUGAGGAAAUUAAUGCAUAUACUAUUCACUCACUCACUCUCACUCUCUCUCUCUCUCUGUCUCUCUCUCUC